rnacentral:lncRNA from 13 species
CUGGCUUAUUUGUGCAUUUUUAGCAGAAAUGAGGUUUCACCAUGUCGGCCAGGCUGGUCUCAAACUCCUUACCUGAAGUGAUCUGCAUUACACUUCAGGUAAUGAGCCACUGCACCGGGCCUGAAGGGUGAGUUUUCUAGGUGAAGAUAAGAGGAAAGAGCAUUCCAAGCAGAAGGAACAGAAUAUGCAAAGGUCCUGGGGUGAGAGGAAGCAGGGCACCUUCAUAGAAUGUAAGAACAGUGUUACUGGGACAGAGAAUGGAGAAAUAGAGGCCAGAGAGAAAAGGAAAGCUGAUGGUUUGCCAAAAGAAAAUGAAUUCCAAACUCUUGGGUCUGAACUGGGUUCAAGCAUCAGAUCCAGGGGAGCCCGGGGGAGGCUGCUUAGUCAGUCAGGAUGCUUGAAUGUCCUCUGCAGAAGCCAGGUGAGUCCAAGCAAAGUGGGGCACCUCCCCCGCUUUCCUUUCUCGCGUGUGUUCAUGUGUGUGCACAUUUGUGCAUUCUACCAC